GAGUUUGAUCGUGGCUCAGAUUGAACGCUGGCGGCAUGCCUUACACAUGCAAGUCGAACGGUAACAGGUCUUCGGAUGCUGACGAGUGGCGAACGGGUGAGUAAUACAUCGGAACGUGCCCGAUCGUGGGGGGAUAACGGAGCGAAAGCUUUGCUAAUACCGCAUACGAUCUACGGAUGAAAGCAGGGGACCGCAAGGCCUUGCGCGGACGGAGCGGCCGAUGGCAGAUUAGGUAGUUGGUGGGAUAAAAGCUUACCAAGCCGACGAUCUGUAGCUGGUCUGAGAGGACGACCAGCCACACUGGGACUGAGACACGGCCCAGACUCCUACGGGAGGCAGCAGUGGGGAAUUUUGGACAAUGGGCGAAAGCCUGAUCCAGCAAUGCCGCGUGCAGGAUGAAGGCC
rnacentral:rRNA from 1 species